rnacentral:rRNA from 1 species
AUUGAACGCUGGCGGCAGGCCUAACACAUGCAAGUCGAGCGGUAGAGAGGUGCUUGCAUCUCUUGAGAGCGGCGGACGGGUGAGUAAUGCCUAGGAAUCUGCCUAGUGUGGGGGAUAACGUUCGGAAACGGACGCUAAUACCGCACACGUCCUACGGGAGAAAGCGGGGGAUCUUCGGACCUCGCGCCAUUAGAUGAGCCUAGGUCGGAUUAGCUAGUUGGUGAGGUAAUGGCUCACCAAGGCGACGAUCCGUAACUGGUCUGAGAGGAUGAUCAGUCACACUGGAACUGAGACACGGUCCAGACUCCUACGGGAGGCAGCAGUGGGGAAUAUUGGACAAUGGGCGAAGACCUGAUCCAGCCAUGCCGCGUGUGUGAAGAAGGUCUUCGGAGUUGUUAAA